rnacentral:tRNA from 1 species
GCCGACUUAGCUCAGCAGGCAGAGCAACUGACUUGUAAUCAGUAGGUCACCAGUUCGAUUCCGGUAGUC